rnacentral:rRNA from 1 species
AUUGAACGCUGGCGGCAGGCCUAACACAUGCAAGUCGAACGGUAGCACAGAGAGCUUGCUCUCGGGUGACGAGUGGCGGACGGGUGAGUAAUGUCUGGGAAACUGCCUGAUGGAGGGGGAUAACUACUGGAAACGGUAGCUAAUACCGCAUAACGUCGCAAGACCAAAGAGGGGGGACCUUCGGGUCCGUCUUGCCAUCAGAUGUGCCCAGAUGGGAUUAG